GAUGAACGCUGGCGGCGUGCCUAAUACAUGCAAGUCGAGCGAAUGGAUUAAGAGCUUGCUCUUAUGAAGUUAGCGGCGGACGGGUGAGUAACACGUGGGUAACCUGCCCAUAAGACUGGGAUAACUCCGGGAAACCGGGGCUAAUACCGGAUAACAUUUUGAACCGCAUGGUUCGAAAUUGAAAGGCGGCUUCGGCUGUCACUAAUGGAUUGACCCGCGUCGUAGUAGCUAGUUGGUGAGGUAACGGCUCACCAAGGCAACGAUGCGUAGCCGACCUGAGAGGGUGAUCGGCCACACUGGGACUGAGACACGGCCCAGACUCCUACGGGAGGCAGCAGUAGGGAAUCUUCCGCAAUGGACGAAAGUCUAACGGAGCAACGCCGCGUGAGUGAUGAAGGCUUUCGGGUCGUAAAACUCUGUUGUUAGGGAAGAACAAGUGCUAGUUGAAUAAGCUGUACCUUGACGGUACCUAACCAGAAAGCCACGGCUAACUACGUGCCAGCAGCCGCGGUAA
rnacentral:rRNA from 1 species